GAAGCCAAACAGGUGCCCAGUCCCUGACUAUGGCUCAAGCACCAUUCCUCCCUCUCCUCCUCUUCACUUACUGCGCUGGGGCCUUUGGCCAGUUUGUACUGACUCAGCCGUCCUCUGCAUCUGCACCCCCAAGAGGAACAGUGAAGAUCCCCUGUGCCAGGAGCAGUGGUGGCAUCAGAGACAACUAUGUAUCCUGGUAUCAGCAGAAACCUGGCAGUGCCCCCAAACUGCUGAUAUAUCAAUUUGACAGCAGAUACACAGGAAUCUCGGAUCGAUUCUCUGGCUCUACGGACACCUCUGCCAACUCUGCCGCCUUAACCAUCGCCAAUGUUCAAGCAGAAGAUGAGGCAGAUUAUUACUGUUUAUCUUAUGCUAGCGGUGUCCAGCGCACGAUGAUACAGCUGCAUGGAGAAGUGAGACAAAAACCUCCUUACAGUAGUCUGCAAUGGGUUGCAUUUGGUUGA